UAAUACCGAAUAAGUUCCAAGGGUCGCAUGAUCCAUGGAAGAAAAGGUGGCCUCUACCUGUAAGCUAUCGCCUGAAGAGGGGUUUGCGUCUGAUUAGCUGGUUGGAGGGGUAACGGCCCACCAAGGCGACGAUCAGUAGCCGGUCUGAGAGGAUGAACGGCCACACUGGAACUGAGACACGGUCCAGACUCCUACGGGAGGCAGCAGUGGGGAAUCUUCCGCAAUGGGCGAAAGCCUGACGGAGCAACGCCGCGUGAGUGAUGACGGCCUUCGGGUUGUAAAACUCUGUGAUCCGGGACGAAAAGGCAGAGUGCGAAGAACAAACUGCAUUGACGGUACCGGAAAAGCAAGCCACGGCUAACUACGUGCCAGCAGCCGCGGUAAUACGUAGGUGGCAAGCGUUGUCCGGAAUUAUUGGGCGUAAAGCGCGCGCAGGCGGCUUCCCAAGUCCCUCUUAAAAGUGCGGGGCUUAACCCCGUGAUGGGAAGGAAACUGGGAAGCUGGAGUAUCGGAGAGGAAAGUGGAAUUCCUAGUGUAGCGGUGAAAUGCGUAGAGAUUAGGAAGAACACCGGUGGCGAAGGCGACUUUCUGGACGAAAACUGACGCUGAGGCGCGAAAGCGUGGGGAGCAAACAGGAUUAGAUACCCUGGUAGUCCACGCCGUAAACGAUGGAUACUAGGUGUAGGAGGUAUCGACCCCUCCUGUGCCGGAGUUAACGCAAUAAGUAUCCCGCCUGGGAA
rnacentral:rRNA from 1 species